GUUAUAUGGUCAAGCGAAUAAGCGCACACGGUGGAUGCCUUGGCGGUCAGAGGCGAUGAAGGACGUGGCAGCCUGCGAAAAGUAUCGGGGAGCUGGCAACAAGCUUUGAUCCGGUAAUGUCCGAAUGGGGAAACCCACCCGCUUGCGGGUAUCCUGCAGUGAAUACAUAGCUGCUGGAAGCGAACCUGGUGAACUGAAAUAUCUAAGUAACCAGAGGAAAAGAAAUCAACCGAGAUUCCGUAAGUAGCGACGAGCGAACGCGGACUAGCCCUUAAGCUGAUUUGGUUCUAGGAAAACGCUCUGGAAAGAGCGGCCAUAGAAGGUGAUAGCCCUGUAUCUGAAAGGGCCAUUUCAGUGAAGACGAGUAGGGCGGGGCACGUGAAACCCUGUCUGAACAUGGGGGGACCAUCCUCCAAGGCUAAAUACUACUGACCGACCGAUAGUGAACCAGUACCGUGAGGGAAAGGCGAAAAGAACCCCGGAGAGGGGAGUGAAAUAGAACCUGAAACCGUGUGCGUACAAGCAGUAGGAGCUCCGCAAGGAGUGACUGCGUACCUUUUGUAUAAUGGGUCAGCGACUUACUGUUCGUGGCAAGCUUAACCGUAUAGGGGAGGCGAAGGGAAACCGAGUCUGAUAAGGGCGCAUAGUCGCGGGCAGUAGACCCGAAACCGGGUGAUCUAGUCAUGCCCAGGGUGAAGGUGCGGUAACACGCACUGGAGGCCCGAACCCACUCCCGUUGCAAAGGUAGGGGAUGAGGUGUGAUUAGGAGUGAAAAGCUAAUCGAACCCGGAGAUAGCUGGUUCUCCUCGAAAGCUAUUUAGGUAGCGCCUCAUAUGUAUCCUCUCGGGGGUAGAGCACUGUUAUGGCUAGGGGGUCAUCGCGACUUACCAAACCAUUGCAAACUCCGAAUACCGAGACGGACUGUAUGGGAGACACACGGCGGGUGCUAACGUCCGUCGUGAAAAGGGAAACAACCCAGACCCACAGCUAAGGUCCCAAAUUUUGUGCUAAGUGGAAAACCAUGUGGAAAGGCACAGACAGCCAGGAGGUUGGCUUAGAAGCAGCCACCCUUUAAAGAAAGCGUAAUAGCUCACUGGUCGAGUCGGUCUGCGGGGAAGAUUUAACGGGGCUAAGCACAGAACCGAAGCUUGGGGUGCAUAACUUUGUUAUGCGCGGUAGAGGAGCGUUCCGUAAGCCGUUGAAGGUGGAUUGAGAAGUCUGCUGGAGGUAUCGGAAGUGCGAAUGCUGACAUGAGUAACGAUAAUGCGGGUGAAAAACCCGCACGCCGAAAGCCCAAGGUUUCCUUGCGCAACGUUAAUCGGCGCAGGGUGAGUCGGCCCCUAAGGCGAGGACGAAAGUCGUAGUCGAUGGGAAGCAGGUUAAUAUUCCUGCACCUCGCGUAAGUGCGAUGGAGGGACGGAGAAGGUUAGGUGUACCAGGCGUUGGUUGUCCUGGGGAAAGGCGGUAGGUUUGGAUCUUUGGCAAAUCCGGGAUCCUUUAAGACCGAGCACCGAGACGAGCCUUUAAGGCGAAGUCACUGAUACCACGCUUCCAGGAAAAGCUCCUAAGCUUCAGCUUACGCAGACCGUACCGUAAACCGACACAGGUGGGUAGGAUGAGAAUUCUCAGGCGCUUGAGAGAACUCGGGUGAAGGAACUAGGCAACAUGGCACCGUAACUUCGGGAGAAGGUGCACCCUUUUUGGUGGCUCGUGCGAGCUAUAGCUGAAGAGGGUCGCAGUAACCAGGCCGCUGCGACUGUUUAUCAAAAACACAGCACUCUGCAAACACGAAAGUGGACGUAUAGGGUGUGACGCCUGCCCGGUGCUGGAAGGUUAAUUGAUGGGGUCAGCCGCAAGGCGAAGCUCUUGAUCGAAGCCCCAGUAAACGGCGGCCGUAACUAUAACGGUCCUAAGGUAGCGAAAUUCCUUGUCGGGUAAGUUCCGACCUGCACGAAUGGCGUAACGACAGCGGCGCUGUCUCCACCCGAGACUCAGUGAAAUUGAAAUCGCUGUGAAGAUGCAGCGUUCCCGUGGCAAGACGGAAAGACCCCGUGAACCUUUACUAUAGCUUUACACUGAACGUUGAGUUCGUCUGUGUAGGAUAGGUGGGAGGCUAUGAAACCAUGGCGCUAGCUGUGGCGGAGCCAUCCUUGAAAUACCACCCUGUCGUGCUUGACGUUCUAACCUAGGCCCAUUAUCUGGGUCGGGGACCGUGUAUGGUGGGUAGUUUGACUGGGGCGGUCUCCUCCUAAAGAGUAACGGAGGAGCUCGAAGGUACGCUCAGCGCGGUCGGACAUCGCGCACUGUGUGCAAAGGCAUAAGCGUGCUUGACUGCAAGAUCGACGGAUCAAGCAGGUAGGAAACUAGGACUUAGUGAUCCGGUGGUUCUGUAUGGAAGGGCCAUCGCUCAACGGAUAAAAGGUACUCCGGGGAUAACAGGCUGAUACCGCCCAAGAGUUCAUAUCGACGGCGGUGUUUGGCACCUCGAUGUCGGCUCAUCACAUCCUGGGGCUGUAGUCGGUCCCAAGGGUAUGGCUGUUCGCCAUUUAAAGUGGUACGCGAGCUGGGUUCAGAACGUCGUGAGACAGUUCGGUCCCUAUCUGCCAUGGGCGUUGGAGAUUUGAGAGGGGCUGCUCCUAGUACGAGAGGACCGGAGUGGACGAACCUCUGGUGUUCCGGUUGUCACGCCAGUGGCAUUGCCGGGUAGCUAUGUUCGGAAGCGAUAACCGCUGAAAGCAUCUAAGCGGGAAGCGCGCCUCAAGAUGAGAUCUCCCGGGGCACAAGCCCCCUGAAGGAACCAUGUAGACUACGUGGUUGAUAGGUCAGGUGUGUAAGUACAGCAAUGUAUUGAGCUAACUGAUACUAAUGAUCCGUGCGGCUUGACCAUAUAACCU
rnacentral:rRNA from 1 species